CCUUCGCACGACUGCCUACCCAUCCAAGCCACCGCAUACCACGCCGCAAGUCGCCUCAUGCCGCCGCCGCUCGCCCCUUUCUCUGUAGGUCGCCAACGCAACCCUGGGCCCCAGGAUCGUUCCCUCCUCCCCACCAGGCUAUUGGCUCCGCAGCGGCCGCAAUCCUGGGCAUCAGGAGCGCGCAGCCGCCGCAAUCCUGGGCAGAUCUAGCCGGGGCCGUGGGCAGCCAUCCCUCCAUCCGGGCGGCCAUGAAGAAUUGAAGCGGCUUGCGCAGAACUAGCGCAUGGACCAUGCGCGCCUCCCGCGCUAGGAGCCACCGGUCCUCGUCAUCUGCUAGCAUCCACGAGGAAUCGAUCCAUAUGUAAGCUACCUUCCACAAUAAUCCAUCCAACAGGCUGCUUGCUUGUUUGUGUACUAGUGCCAAGGGGAGCAAGAUGCAAGGACGACAUUGAGGAAUGUUUGAGGAGAGCUCGGUUAGUGUCAACACCUCAAGGGUUUAUGCAUAUCAGUUCCUUCUGCUUAAAGCCAUUGUAAUGAUGGCUACUGGUUCCAGGUAUAUGUUUAUGGAGUCAUAUGGCGCGCUCUUAUAACUUUGCCAUGGAAUGUCUAUUGUUAGAAAACAUCUUGCGAGUACUUUGGUUAGGUACUAGAAAGCACAUACACACACAUGCCCAACACAGCAACAAGCACGCACAUACAACACAACACAGAUGCUCUGCUCCUGAUUUGCCAAUAGUACGCUUAUGCUUUGCCACUCCGAAUUUUUUGCACUAUGAGCCACUUUGCAUGUGCUUGCUCAUGUAGUGACCUGAUUGACAGUUGUUUGUGUUGCCGUGUUCAAGCUCGUGCUACAGCAGCAACCCAGCAGCAAAACUCUGAGCUCAGCCAGCAGGUCAACGAAUUACACGAUCAACUACAAGCUGAACGUGCAAACACACAAGAGAGGAUUAACUUGGAGCGUGUUGAGAGAGAACAACUUCAGGAGAGGUUAGAAGAAGAGCGUGCUGAAAGGGAAAUAUUGUUGGAAGAACUGGAAUUUGAAAAAAACACGAUGUCAAAGUUUGCAAAAUGGAGCCAGCAAAUGGGAACCCGUGAUUAUAGUCAUAUGCUUGCAACCUUGUAAGAUUUAUGUUGCUUGCUUACAUUGCUAAAAGUGCACUUCUAUUUGCAGGUGCCAACGAAGAGGAUUGACAAAGAAGAUAGUAGUCCAAACUUGCAAAAUACUUUUUUUCAGAUAUCUAGUCCUAAUAAGACUCCAGGUGCAAGGCUAACUGUUAUUUCUUCAAGUGUGCUCAUACAAGCUGAACAAGGAAUUCUCAAAUGUUUAAAGCAAUGGUAAGUCAAAACCUUGAUUUCUCUUCAUGUUCACCUGCAUUCUAUACGUAUGGCCUUCAUAAUUAGCUAGCUACUUCUUCUCUUUCACCAUGUGUUGUUGCUGCAUCGAGUCACAACUUUGAAAAAACGAAUAUGUGCUAGCUAGGGACAUUAACUUAAUUGAAACUAUAGAUUGAGUCGCAACUUAAAUCAACAGCGGAUGCUUUUUGUACAUGUACUUGUGCUUAUGCUUUAGACAAUUACACUUGUCAAACUGUUCUGAUUCCUUAGUUACAUACUUGUUGACACAGUAUUACUCCAAAUAGUCUGGUGAUAAUUAUUUUUAGAGAAAAUGGCUUCUAUACCACUGAGACAAGCAUCAACUGCUCAUUUGCCAUCGAACAAAGCUUCAGUGCUCAUAUACCAGUAACAAACGAAUUCUAGUGCUCGUAUGCCACUGGCUGUUAGAACAACGUUACCUCACAGUUUUCAUAUGCCAAAAUGACUUGUUUGCCCUUAGUGGCAAAUAAGCAACAAUGAGAGAACAUAUCUAGGAAAAAACUGACAACAUUUUGCCUGUAAUUACAUCAUUUCAGCAAAACAACAGUGCACAGAUAACAGUAUCAGCAUAUAUAUACUUCAGCUACAGAAUAAUACUCAUCAAAGUUCACAUCAUUUAGAAACCAUUCAGCAAACACCAAAUUCAGUCAUGCAUAAGUAAACUCAAGUUUUCAUUCCUACCAAAAGACCACAACCGAGAGUAGGUUGUUCACAUAAGCAAAGUCUAUAGAUAAAUUAGACAUGAAGAGUUGCGAUAUGUAAAUAAUAUGUGAAAUUUUGCUGAAUAUCACAGUUUCAGCUUCUUCUUGCUUCGAGUGCUCAUUGCAGGGCUGUCAGGUGCAACAUUCCUCUUGCUUCGAGUGCCCAUUGCAGGGCUGUCAGGCGCAAUAGAUAUGGCCUUUGAUCUACAUUAAAACAUCAGAUUACAUACUAUGAUGAUCCUCGCAGAAUAUACGUUGCUAACUUACACAUUGUCAAAGAAACAUUUCAUUGAAGAUUGUGCAGCUUUCAUACCUUGUAGAUUUAGAGGUGGUCUUUGAUGAUUUCGACUUGGCGACAUUGUCUUCAAUUGCAUCACUCGGACAUAGAAGUAGAGGGAGUGCAGUUUCAGUUUCGAUUGAACAUGGAAGAACAACCUUUGUAAUGGGUUUUUUCUUUCUUUUGUCCCUGCAUUAGUUUCACAUAUUAGCAUCAUUAGGACAAGAUUAUGAUAAAAACAGUAAUAUUGAAGCAAGCACUACCUUUUUUGCUUUGCUACUUCAGCAUAGACAGCUAGUGCUUCCGGAGCAGCAUCUUUACAGCUUUGCCAUCUAUGUCCAUAGGCCUUGCAAAUUGGACAUUGGUGCUGGCCUUUAUUUCCCUUGCCCUUGCUAUUCUCGGCACCACUUUUAUGCCUCUGUACUUUUGGCCUCCCAGGGGCCCUCCUAAGGAUUGGGGGAUUCAAAAUGAAAUCUUUGUUCACACUUGGCCAUUGAGACAUGUCGGUCAGGCCAGGAAGAACAUGGGCAUAAGCUGCAGUGAACUUGGCAACGCUGUAAUAGUCAUCAACAAAAUC